GAUGGACGCUGGCGGCGUGCCUAAUACAUGCAAGUCGAGCGAACAGACGAGGAGCUUGCUCCUCUGACGUUAGCGGCGGACGGGUGAGUAACACGUGGAUAACCUACCUAUAAGACUGGGAUAACUUCGGGAAACCGGAGCUAAUACCGGAUAAUAUAUUGAACCGCAUGGUUCAAUAGUGAAAGACGGUUUUGCUGUCACUUAUAGAUGGAUCCGCGCCGCAUUAGCUAGUUGGUAAGGUAACGGCUUACCAAGGCAACGAUGCGUAGCCGACCUGAGAGGGUGAUCGGCCACACUGGAACUGAGACACGGUCCAGACUCCUACGGGAGGCAGCAGUAGGGAAUCUUCCGCAAUGGGCGAAAGCCUGACGGAGCAACGCCGCGUGAGUGAUGAAGGUCUUCGGAUCGUAAAACUCUGUUAUUAGGGAAGAACAAAUGUGUAAGUAACUAUGCACGUCUUGACGGUACCUAAUCAGAAAGCCACGGCUAACUACGUG
rnacentral:rRNA from 1 species